rnacentral:rRNA from 1 species
ACGCAAUAGAUACCCAGGUAGUCCACGCCCUAAACGAUGUCUACUAGUUGUCGGGUCUUAAUUGACUUGGUAAACGCAGCUAAACGCGUGAAGUAGACCGCCUGGGGAGUACGGUCGCAAGAUUAAAACUCAAAGGAAUUGACGGGGACCCGCACAAGCGGUGGAUGAUGUGGAUUAAAUUCGAUGCAACGCGAAAAACCUUACCUACCCUUGACAUGGAUGGAAUCCUUGAGAGAUUGAGGAGUGCCCGAAAGGGAACCAUUACACAGGCGCUGCAUGGCUGUCGUCAGCUCGUGUCGUGAGAUGUUGGGUUAAGUCCCGCAACGAGCGCAACCCUUGUCAUUAGUUGCUACGAAAGGGCACUCUGAUGAGACUGCCGGUGACAAACCGGAGGAAGGUGGGGAUGACGUCAAGUCCUCAUGGCCCUUAUGGGUAGGGCUUCACACGUCAUACAAUGGUACAUACAGAGGGCCGCCAACCCGCGAGGGGUAGCUAAUCCCAGAAAGUGUAUCGUAGUCCGGAUUGUAGUCUGCAACUCG